CCAAUAGCGUAUAUUAAAGUUGUUGUGGUUAAAAAGCUCGUAGUUGAACCUUGGGCCUGGCUGGCCGGUCCGCCUCACCGCGUGUACUGGUCCGGCCGGGCCUUUCCCUCUGUGGAACCCCAUGCCCUUCACUGGGCGUGGCGGGGAAACAGGACUUUUACUGUGAAAAAAUUAGAGUGCUCCAGGCAGGCCUAUGCUCGAAUACAUUAGCAUGGAAUAAUAGAAUAGGACGUGUGGUUCUAUUUUGUUGGUUUCUAGGACCGCCGUAAUGAUUAAUAGGGACAGUCGGGGGAAUCAGUAUUCAAUUGUCAGAGGUGAAAUUCUUGGAUUUAUUGAAGACUAACUACUGCGAAAGCAUUUGCCAAGGAUGUUUUCAUUAAUCAGGAACGAAAGUUAGGGGAUCGAAGACGAUCAGAUACCGUCGUAGUCUUAACCAUAAACUAUGCCGACUAGGGAUCGGACGGUGUUAUUUUUUGACCCGUUCGGCACCUUACG
rnacentral:rRNA from 1 species